rnacentral:rRNA from 1 species
CCUACGGGAGGCAGCAGUGGGGAAUAUUGCACAAUGGGGGAAACCCUGAUGCAGCGACGCCGCGUGAGUGAAGAAGUAUUUCGGUAUGUAAAGCUCUAUCAGCAGGGACGAAAUAGCGACCUUUGGGUCGCCAGACGGUACCUGACUAAGAAGCCCCGGCUAACUACGUGCCAGCAGCCGCGGUAAUACGUAGGGGGCAAGCGUUAUCCGGAUAUACUUGGUGUAAAGGGAGCGUAGACGGCAGCACAAGUCUGAAGGGAAAUGCCGGGGCUUAACCCCGGGACUGCUUUGGAAACUGUGCAGCUAGAGUGCAGGAGAGGUAAGUGGAAUUCCUAGUGUAGCGGUGAAAUGCGUAGAUAUUAGGAGGAACACCAGUGGCGAAGGCGGCUUACUGGACUGUAACUGACGUUGAGGAUCGAAAGCGUGGGGAGCAAACAGGAUUAGAUACCCGUGUAGUC